rfam:Verrucosispora maris AB-18-032, complete genome.
CUUGGCGCUGGCGUAGCGGCCUGCCGCGUCGCCGAACUCUGCGAGCACCCGGGCGCCGAGGAUGACGCCGAUGCCGGGCUGG